UAUGCCAGUAACUCGUUCUACUAAUCAAAGUUAAGUGCAAUUAGAUCUCAAAAUAGAAAAAACUUUGCGCAGGUUACGAAAGGAAGCUUGCCGCAACACCAUAGCUAUUGCACAACAACAAAUACUUAAGGAGCUUGCUACUCCUAACAUGGAAAAUCAGCUACUGUGCAUAAACAUUAAUAAUAGUGUAAACUUUGAGCUCAAAUUUGGUUUUAUACAUUUGUUACCAACAUUUAAUGGUUUUGCAGGAGAAGAUCCUCAUACUCAUCUUAAGGAGUUCCAUAUGGUUUGUGUUGGCAUGAAACCGAAUGGAGUUGACGAAGAACAGGUUAAGUUGAAAGCUUUCCCUUUCUCUUUAAAAAAGGCAGCAAAGACAUUAUUUUUCUCUAUUCUCUCAUGUUCUAUUGAAACUUGGAAUGCCAUGAAGAAGAUUUUUCUUGAAAAGUAUUUUCUAGUAUCUCGAGUUGCCAACAUAAGGAAAGAAAUAUGUGGGAUUCGACAAUUUCAUAGAGAGACACUCUCUGAAUAUUGGAAAAGAUUUGAGCAACUCUGCAUUCAAUGUCCUCAUCAUCAAAUACUCGAUCAACUACUCAUUCAAUAUUUCUAUGAAGGAUUGAUGCCUACUAACCGUAAUAUCAUUGAUGCUGCAAGUCCUGAGGCUGCACGCCAAUUGAUCUCAAACAUGGAAGCCAACUCAAAACAGUUUGACACUCAUGAAGACUUCUCAAACAAACAAGUAAAUGAGGUAAGUAUUUCUAACCCUGAAAAUAAAGUUAAUGAUCUUACUUCUCUUGUGUGUUUUUUGGCUUGUGGAAAUGUACAGCAGGUGAAAGUUUGUAGUGAAAGUUUGUAGCAUAUGUUCCUUACAAGAACAUACCUCAGAUGUAUGCUCAACAAUGCAAGAAGAUUACAUUGAACAGGUUCAUAUAGUUGAUGGAGGAUUUAACGGACAAUUCUAGCAUAAAUAUGAUCCCUUUUCCAACAUGUACAAUCCUGGAAGGAGAGAUCAUCCAAACUUAUGUUAUGGGAACCCACCUUAACAAGACAAUUAAAGCCGACAAUUCCAUCCCCAUGGAUUUCAGCCCCAAUAGAAUUAUCAAGCGAGACAACCCCUUCUAUUCACAAACUCCAAUGUAUGGGGUCGUCAUCCAAUGAUGAUCUUCGUGAGAUGAUGAAAACUUUGGCCUCUAACACUGUGACCUUACAACAAAAUGUCAUGACUUUUCAACAAGAAACAAGGUCAAAUAUUCAUAACUUGGAGAAGAAAAUGGGGUAAGUAGCUUCAAGUGUGGGAAAAUUGGAAGCACAAAUGAAUGGAAAAUUACCCUUCCAAGCAUUGAAUCUAACAGAGAAUGUUAGUUCAAUCAUGCUGUGAAGUGGGAAAGAAUUGGAAGAGAAAAGGUCAAAACAAAUUAAGAUGGAGGAAGAAGAAGAGAUAGAAAUAGAAUUGAGUACAAAGAAGGAAUAUCCUCCUUCUCUACAAGCUGAAACAUCAACCAACACUCCAAAGGAGUUGUGUACUACCAAGAGAGCUUUCAAACUGAAAGGUUAUGAAAUGAUAAGUAUAGGUGAAGUUGUAUCUACUAUUAUUCAAAAGAAUAUGCCUUUGAAGUAAAAAGACUCAGGUGCGUUUGCUAUCCUUUGUGUUAUUGGUAAUGCUAGUUUCAAAAGGGCCUUGUGCAAUUUAGGUGCAUCCAAUACUGUU